rnacentral:lncRNA from 1 species
UGUUUUUUUCUAUCUAGCUUCUAACUUGUGAUACUUUUAUAUCUGAACUAGACUUUCCAGUUAUACACUAUUGUUCCCAGUGUUUCCUUUUUAAUUUUGCCAUCUUAAGUUAGCAUCAGGUUUAAUAAUCUUUGAACAAGGUACAAGGCUUACACAUGUGAGCCACCUUAUUCUCCUACAAAGUGUUUUUAUGACUAGAGCCAUUUUUCUUAUGUAACAUCUCUCUCUUGAGUUGUUUGUUUUUCAUGGUUGAUCACAUGGACACCGAAAUGUGCUAUUAUUAAUUUCUUUGGGAUUUGAAUUAAAUUGUAUUUCCUGGGAGUGUGGGCAAGUCUUAAUGAUUCCUGGACAUGAGCACCACCUCCCAUGCACUGGGAUCAUAAGCAUCACCCACUGUGCGUUUUAGAUGCUGAUGGUCAAACUCAAGCUUAAUGCUUUUACUAAAUCCAUUUUCCUAAUUAAACUGUUGUUUCAGUCUCAAAUACAUAGACCAGUUUCUUUAGAAACAUGGGAUGUUUGCUUUCUUAUUAGAGAAUUCUAAAAUGUAUAAUUGCUGGAACUAUGAGGAGGAUCAGAGGUGUGAUUCAUCCUUGCGAAGCAGGCAGUAAAACCAUCAGUUCCAUGCCAGUCUCAGAUCAAAAUGCAUGUGUUGGAUAACAUGAGAUUUAAGGGAUGAGUUUCAUUUUGUGUCACGAUUAGUCCCUUCUAACAUUGUCAUGUGUAUUUUAAUAUUAUGUUUGAAAAUGCAUCAACUUUUUUAUAUUCACAGAAAAAGAUCUACAAAGAUCAAAUGGAAUACAUGUUGCAAAAUCAUGUAUUUCCUCUCUUCAGCAGUGAGCUAGGUUACAUGAGAGCAAGGGUAAGUUAAAGUAUUGAAAUAUUUUUAUGUCUUGUAAGAAAUGACUGAAAGUUAAAACUUGGCUUAAACAUAUUAAGACUUUUUUCUGUAAGUCUUUGUCUGGCUGCUAUACUGAGUCCUGUGUGCAUAGUUUUCAUCUAUGUCUGGUAGCAGUAUCUGUCUGCGUUUUGCAUUCAGAUCUUGCUAUCCACACAAACGAAUGCAGCCAAAGAAUAAGUUGGGAUCAUAGUACUGGCCUAGUGUUGUGUUUUUUUAACACAUCUCCCACUGGCCAGCCUCCAAAUUCCCAGAC